rnacentral:rRNA from 1 species
UUCCAGACUCCUACGGGAGGCAGCAGUGGGGAAUAUUGCACAAUGGGGGAAACCCUGAUGCAGCAACGCCGCGUGAGUGAGGAAGUAUUUCGGUAUGUAAAGCUCUAUCAGCAGGGAAUAGAAAAGAAGGUACCUGAAAAAGAAGCCCCGGCUAACUACGUGCCAGCAGCCGCGGUAAUACGUAGGGGGCAAGCGUUAUCCGGAUUCACUGGGUGUAAAGGGAGCGUAGACGGCGGCGCAAGUCUGGGGUGAAAGCCCGGGGCCCAACCCCGGGACUGCUCUGGAAACUGCGGCGCUGGAGUACGGGAGGGGCAGGCGGAAUUCCUGGUGUAGCGGUGAAAUGCGUAGAUAUCAGGAGGAACACCGGCGGCGAAGGCGGCCUGCUGGACCGUGACUGACGUUGAGGCUCGAGAGCGUGGGGAGCAAACAGGAUUAGAUACCCUGGUA